rnacentral:rRNA from 1 species
UCGGGAAUUUUGUGCAAUGGGCGAAAGCCUGACACAGCAACGCCGCGUGAAGGAUGAAGUCCCUCGGGAUGUAAACUUCGUAAGAAUAGGAAGAAUAAAUGACGGUACUAUUUGUAAGGUCCGGCUAACUACGUGCCAGCAGCCGCGGUAAUACGUAGGGACCAAGCGUUGUUCGGAUUUACUGGGCGUAAAGGGUGCGUAGGCGGCAUAUCAAGUCACUUGUGAAAUCUCCGGGCUUAACUCGGAACUGCCAAGUGAUACUGAUGUGCUAGAGUGCAGAAAGGGCAACUGGAAUUCUUGGUGUAGCGGUGAAAUGCGUAGAUAUCAAGAGGAACACCUGAGGCGAAGGCGAGUUGCUAGGCUGACACUGACGCUGAGGCGCGAAAGCCAGGGGAGCAAACGGGAUUAGAUACCCAAGUAGUCCCUGAGCGGGCUGGCAAGGCGCAU